rnacentral:rRNA from 1 species
GGAGGAAUAUUGGUCAAUGGUCGGAAGACUGAACCAGCCAUGCCGCGUGAAGGUCAGUGCCCUAUGGGCGUUAAACUUCUUUUGUGUGAGAGCAAUAAGGACCUCGUGAGGUCCGAUGAGAGUAUCACACGAAUAAGCAUCGGCUAACUCCGUGCCAGCAGCCGCGGUAAUACGGAGGAUGCAAGCGUUAUCCGGAUUUAUUGGGUUUAAAGGGUGCGUAGGCUGUUCGACAAGUCAGCGGUGAAAGCCCGGCGCUUAACGCCGGAACUGCCAUUGAUACUGUUGAGCUGGAAUACGGAUGCCGUGGGAGGAAUGAGUAGUGUAGCGGUGAAAUGCAUAGAUAUUACUCAGAACACCGAUUGCGAAGGCAUCUCA